CCUACGGGAGGCAGCAGUGGGGAAUAUUGCGCAAUGGGCGAAAGCCUGACGCAGCGACGCCGCGUGAGGGAUGAAGGUCUUCGGAUUGUAAACCUCUGUCAGCAGGGAAGAACGGUCACUGUGCUAAUCAGCAGUGAAUUGACGGUACCUGCAAAGGAAGCACCGGCUAACUCCGUGCCAGCAGCCGCGGUAAUACGGAGGGUGCGAGCGUUAAUCGGAAUUACUGGGCGUAAAGCGCUCGUAGGCGGUAUGUCAAGUCAAGGGUGAAAUCCCCGCGCUUAACGUGGGAACUGCCUUUGAAACUGGCAAGCUGGAGUGUGUGAGAGGAUAGUGGAAUUCGAGGUGUAGGAGUGAAAUCCGUAGAUAUCUGGCAGAACAUCAGUGGCGAAGGCGACUAUCCGGCACAUAACUGACGCUGAGGAGCGAAAGCGUGGGUAGCAAACAGGAUUAGAUACCCCAGUAGUC
rnacentral:rRNA from 1 species